GUCAGAGUUUGAUCCUGGCUCAGAUUGAACGCUGGCGGCAUGCUUUACACAUGCAAGUCGAACGGUAACAGGUUAAGCUGACGAGUGGCUAACGGGUGAGUAAUGCAUCGGAACGUGCCCGAUCGUGGGGAUAACGCAGCGAAAGCUGCGCUAAUACCGCAUACGAUCUGAGGAUGAAAGCGGGGGACCGUAAGGCCUCGCGCGAUCGGAGCGGCCGAUGUCAGAUUAGGUAGUUGGUGGGGUAAAGGCCCACCAAGGCGACGAUCUGUAGCUGGUCUGAGAGGACGACCAGCCACACUGGGGACUGAGACACGGCCCAGACUCCUACGGGAGCAGCAGUGGGGAAUUUUGGACAAUGGGCGAAAGCCUGAUCCC
rnacentral:rRNA from 1 species